CAAUAAACGAGGGCAUACUGCAGUGAACUGUUUUCACAUAAAUACGAGCAAUACAACACCUGGUUUUAUUGUGGAGUGUCAAAUAUGUGGCAAAAGAGGACAUUCUGCUCUUGACUGUUUCCAUAGAGCCAAUUACACUUAUCAAGGACAGCCACCUCCAUCUUCCCUAUCUGCCAUGAAUGCACAACAAACAUCUCAGGUCCUUCCUCCGGAUUCGUGGAUUGUGGACUCGGGUGCGUCACACCACAUGAUUGCCGAUAUAAAUGCAUUAAAUCAAGUGGCUUCUUAUCAAGGUUCUGAUAAUAUAACCAUUGGACAAGAAGACAAGGGAGGUGGUGUAUCACGGAAGGAGUAAACCAGAAGAGUUGUUUCAGAUUCCGGUGGUUAAAGUUUCUGGAAGGCUAGAAUUUGUUACAAGAGAUCCAAUGGUUUACUUAGGGAAAAUGGUGAAAUCAGAUAUUUGGCAUCAACGAUUAGGACAUCCAGCACAUGAUACAAUGGCAGCAAUGUUAAGACAGUCUAAAGUUGUACACAAGAUAGAUAAUACAUGUACUACUUGUACUUCUUGUAUUCAAGGAAAAAUGUCUAGAGUACCUUUUCCGGUUAGAAAUAACAGAUGUGUGGUUCCUUUUGAGAAAGUUCAUACUGAUGUUUAGGGUCCAACUCCUGUAAAGUCUGUGGAAGGUUUUAGAUACUAUGUACUGUUUGUUGAUGAAUAUACAAGAUUUACUUGGAUA